rnacentral:rRNA from 1 species
AGAGUUUGAUCAUGGCUCAGAAUGAACGCUGGCGGCGUGCCUAACACAUGCAAGUCGUACGAGAAAGGGGCUUCGGCCCUGAGUAGAGUGGCGCACGGGUGAGUAACGCGUGGGUAAUCUGCCCUUGGAUUUGGAAUAACUCCGCGAAAGUGGAGCUAAUACCGGAUAGUCUGGCUUUUUAACGAAGUCGGUAAAGGAUGCCUCUGCAUAUGCAUUCGUCCGAGGAUGAGCCCGCGUCUCAUUAGCUAGUUGGUAGGGUAAUGGCCUACCAAGGCAACGAUGAGUAGCUGGUCUGAGAGGAUGAUCAGCCACACUGGAACUGAAACACGGUCCAGACUCCUACGGGAGGCAGCAGUGGGGAAUAUUGCGCAAUGGGCGAAAGCCUGACGCAGCAACGCCGUGUGAGGGAUGAAGGCUUUCGGGUCGUAAACCUCUGUCAGAAGGGAAGAACGGGCAUUGGUCUAAUAGGCCUUUGUUUUGACGGUACCUUCAGAGGAAGCACCGGCUAACUCCGUGCCAGCAGCCGCGGUAAUACGGAGGGUGCAAGCGUUAUUCGGAAUUACUGGGCGUAAAGCGCACGUAGGCCGCUUUGUAAGUCAGGGGUGAAAUCCCACGGCUCAACCAGUGGAACUGCCCUUGAAACUGCGAAGCUUGAAUCCUGGAGAGGGUGGCGGAAUUCCUGGUGUAGGAGUGAAAUCCGUAGAUAUCAGGAGGAACACCGGUGGCGAAGGCGGCCACCUGGACAGGUAUUGACGCUGAGGUGCGAAAGUGUGGGGAGCAAACAGGAUUAGAUACCCUGGUAGUCCACACCGUAAACGAUGGAUACUAGGUGUCGGGGACUUGAUCUUCGGUGCCGUAGCUAACGCGUUAAGUAUCCCGCCUGGGGAGUACGGUCGCAAGGCUGAAACUCAAAGAAAUUGACGGGGGCCCGCACAAGCGGUGGAGUAUGUGGUUUAAUUCGAUGCAACGCGAAGAACCUUAC